GGUAACCACCUAAGUAUUUUAAUAAUACCAUGGGUAUUAAAACCAUGUACAAACAAGACAACCCAUAAAAGAACCCACAAAGAAUUCAAUAGAAAAGUUGGAGUGAAAAAAGGACAGAUGCGGAGGAUAAGGGAUGAAGAAAGGGAUGUGAAGGUAAUGAUGCAGAAUAUGAAAGGAAAGAGGAAGAAAUGGUCGGGGUGGAAAGGUGAGGGAGUUGAUGUCUGAGGAGUUAUCAUAGGUCCAUGAUGUCACCCUCACAGCCAUUUCAUUUGGCCUUGACAGCUAUGCGGACACACGUAGUGCGAGUGCGGUGCUGCACAAUCAAGACUCUAGAAGCGCAAUCAGAGACAAGGGAAAGGUAAUUGAACACAAAUAUGAUUGAAUUAAAAGUUUAAAGAACUUAUCAUGAUUAUACAUGUCUACAUAGAUUGAUAGUUUCACAUACUUGUCGUUUUUAUGUAUUGGGAAUUAUUGGCUUCACAUCCUUAUUGAUUGCACCCACAAUACCUGAAGAAGCAAAAGAAGAGAUGCCUCAGGUUGUCUACAAAAAUAUCGAUAACAUCCCUUCUCUACCACAUGCAUAUUCUAGGACUUUCGAUCGUCCUAAGAGAAGACAUGGAUGUGAGGAUCCUUCAAAGUGAAGGAGUGUUUUGAAGAGGAAACUUUAAUCUUGAAUGUAAUAAUGAACAAUGACAGUUAUUUGUAUAAUCUUGAGAUUCGAUAUAAUUUGUUCCAUCUAAAUCUUAAGUGUUAAAUUUGGUUGCCUUGGGCAACUUCACCAAAUUUAAUGACCAUAUUGGUAUUGUUAUUAAUCAUAACAUGGAUGCUUA